rnacentral:rRNA from 1 species
UACAGAGGGUGCAAGCGUUGUUCGGAAUUAUUGGGCGUAAAGGGCGCGUAGGCGGAUAUCUAAGUCGGGGGUGAAAGCCCGGGGCUCAACCUCGGAAUUGCCUUCGAUACUGGAUAUCUUGAGUUCGGGAGAGGUGAGCGGAAUGCCGAGUGUAGAGGUGAAAUUCGUAGAUAUUCGGCGGAACACCAGUGGCGAAGGCGACUCACUGGCCCGAUACUGACGCUGAUGCGCGAAAGCGUGGGGAGCAAACAGG